UGAUACCAAGAGCCGAAAGCUCAGACUUUUAUGCCUGCAUAAAAAAGUCUGAAUUUGAGGCUCGCAAAACAUGAGUAUGUAGUCCGACAGGACGAAAUACGAAUGUUUUUAGAAUUUCGGGAGCACGAAGUGCGGAGAAAUUCGUGGUAUCA
rfam:Blautia sp. An46 An46_contig_30, whole genome shotgun sequence.